UCAUUGCAGAUUUUCUUGGGAGGAAGUGUCUCUUCAAUUAGAUUCAAGCUUCAUGUCGAUGGGCGAUCCAUGUUAGUUCCGAGCUCUAAGGCAAGUUUCAUACUGUAUGUAUAUUCAACCAAGUUUCUAUUGAAUCAGCAGAUUAAAUCAAACAAACUCCACUGCACACAUACAAAAAAAAGAAAAAAAGAAACAAAUAUCUACCCUGCUG
rnacentral:lncRNA from 1 species